rnacentral:tRNA from 1 species
GCCCGAGUGGCGGAAUUGGCAGACGCAAGGGACUUAAAAUCCCUCGGAGCUUGCUCUGUACCGGUUCGAGUCCGGUCUCGGGCA